rnacentral:rRNA from 1 species
AACGAACGCUGGCGGCAGGCCUAACACAUGCAAGUCGAACGAUCCUUCGGGAUAGUGGCGGACGGGUGAGUAACACGUGGGAACGUGCCCUUUGGUUCGGAACAACUCAGGGAAACUUGAGCUAAUACCGAAUGUGCCCUUCGGGGGAAAGAUUUAUCGCCAUUGGAGCGGCCCGCGUCUGAUUAGCUAGUUGGUGAGGUAAUGGCUCACCAAGGCGACGAUCAGUAGCUGGUCUGAGAGGAUGAUCAGCCAAACUGGGACUGAGACACGGCCCAGACUCCUACGGGAGGCAGCAGUGGGGAAUCUUGCGCAAUGGGCGAAAGCCUGACGCAGCCAUGCCGCGUGAAUGAUGAAGGUCUUAGGAUUGUAAAAUUCUUUCACCGGGGACGAUAAUGACGGUACCCGGAGAAGAAGCUCCGGCUAACUUCGUGCCAGCCGCCGCCGUAAUAC